UUUUAGCGGCGGACGGGUGAGUAACGUGUGGGUAACCUGCCUUUUACUGUGGAAUAAUCGUUGGAAACGACGACUAAUACCGCAUACGAUUUUCUGAAGGCAUCUUCGGAAAAAGAAAGGAAAUAUUCGGUAAAAGAUGGGCCCGCAUCUGAUUAGCUAGUUGGUGAGAUAAUAGCCCACCAAGGCAACGAUCAGUAGCCGACCUGAGAGGGUGACCGGCCACAUUGGGACUGAGACACGGCCCAAACUCCUACGGGAGGCAGCAG
rnacentral:rRNA from 1 species